AAGUCGUAACAAGGUUUCCGUAGUGAACCUCAUUAACACGUAUCCAACGCUAAACAACCCUGUGAACCUUCAGACAGUUCUUCUAGCCCACUCGGAACAGCAAUCCCGGUAAAUCAAGUGGCAAAGUUUUUUUGAUUCGGGACCUCUGUCCGAGUAUCAAGUUAGAAUCCGAACUUCGGCAGUGGCAUGGUUCUACGCGUGCAGAAGGAUCCACUGAUAAGGAUGACGCCUCACGGUUGCUAGCGGUCGAUCACCGACCAGCAGAUUCGUUCACACCUUGCCUAUUUAAGCCCCGCGGAAACGCCAGGGCUCAAAACCGAACUGUUAACAAUGGAUAUCUUGGUUCUC
rnacentral:misc_RNA from 1 species